CCUACGGGUGGCAGCAGUGGGGAAUAUUGGGCAAUGGAGGAAACUCUGACCCAGCAACGCCGCGUGAAUGAUGAAGGUCUUAGGAUUGUAAAGUUCUUUUCUAAGGGAAGAAGACAGUGAUGGUACCUUAGGAAUAAGCCUCGGCUAACUACGUGCCAGCAGCCGCGGUAAUACGUAGGAGGCAAGCGUUAUCCGGAAUGACUGGGCGUAAAGGGUGCGUAGGUGGUUUGAUAAGUUGGUAGCGUAACUCCGAGGCUCAACCUCGGCACUACUACCAAUACUGUCGGACUUGAGUGCAGGUGGGGCAACUGGAAUGCAUAGUGUAGCGGUGGAAUGCGUAGAGAUUAGGAGGAACACCAGUGGCGAAGGCGAGUUGCUGGACUGUAACUGACACUGAGGCACGAAAGCGUGGGGAGCAAACAGGAUUAGAUACCCUUGUAGUC
rnacentral:rRNA from 1 species